UACGGGAGGCAGCAGUAGGGAAUCUUUCACAAUGGGCGAAACCCUGAUGCAGCAACGCCGCGUGAGGGAUGAAGGUUUUCGGAUUGUAAACCUCUGUCCUUAGUGAAGAAACAAAUGACGNUNACUAAGGAGGAAGCUCCGGCUAACUACGUGCCAGCAGCCGCGGUAAU
rnacentral:rRNA from 1 species